rnacentral:tRNA from 1 species
GCGGGCGUCGUCUAAUGGCAGGGCCUAAGCUUCCCAAGCUUAAGGCGGGGGUUCGAUUCCCCUCGCCCGCUCCA